rnacentral:rRNA from 1 species
CCUUACCUACUCUUGACAUCCAGAGAAGCCAGCGGAGACGCAGGUGUGCCUUCGGGAACUCUGAGACAGGUGCUGCAUGGCUGUCGUCAGCUCGUGUUGUGAAAUGUUGGGUUAAGUCCCGCAACGAGCGCAACCCUUAUCCUUGUUUGCCAGCGAGUAAUGUCGGGAACUCCAGGGAGACUGCCGGUGAUAAACCGGAGGAAGGUGGGGACGACGUCAAGUCAUCAUGGCCCUUACGAGUAGGGCUACACACGUGCUACAAUGGCGCAUACAGAGGGCAGCGAGACCGCGAGGUGGAGCGAAUCCCACAAAGUCUGUCGUAGUCCGGAUUGGAGUCUGCAACUCGACUCCAUGAAGUCGGAAUCGCUAGUAAUCGUGGAUCAGAAUGCCACGGUGAAUACGUUCCC